UUGAACGCUGGCGGCAGGCCUAACACAUGCAAGUCGAGCGGAUGAAGGGAGCUUGCUCCUGGAUUCAGCGGCGGACGGGUGAGUAAUGCCUAGGAAUCUGCCUGGUAGUGGGGGAUAACGUCCGGAAACGGGCGCUAAUACCGCAUACGUCCUGAGGGAGAAAGUGGGGGAUCUUCGGACCUCACGCUAUCAGAUGAGCCUAGGUCGGAUUAGCUAGUUGGUGGGGUAAAGGCCUACCAAGGCGACGAUCCGUAACUGGUCUGAGAGGAUGAUCAGUCACACUGGAACUGAGACACGGUCCAGACUCCUACGGGAGGCAGCAGUGGGGAAUAUUGGACAAUGGGCGAAAGCCUGAUCCAGCCAUGCCGCGUGUGUGAAGAAGGUCUUCGGAUUGUAAAGCACUUUAAGUUGGGAGGAAGGGAAGUAAGUUAAUACCUUGCUGUUUUGACGUUACCAACAGAAUAAGCACCGGCUAACUUCGUG
rnacentral:rRNA from 1 species